rnacentral:rRNA from 1 species
CCUACGGGUGGCAGCAGUGAGGAAUAUUGGUCAAUGGGCGCGAGCCUGAACCAGCCAAGUCGCGUGAAGGAUGACUGCCCUACGGGUUGUAAACAUCUUUUAUGAAGGAAUAAAGUCAGGCACGUGUGCCUUUUUGUAUGGACUUUAUGAAUAAGGAUCGGCUAACCCCGUGCCAGCAGCCGCGGUAAUACGGAGGAUGCGAGCGUUAUCCGGAUUUAUUGGGUUUAAAGGGAGCGUAGAUGGGGUGUUAAGUUAGGUGUGAAAGUGUAGGGCUCAACCGUAAAAUUGCAAUUGAUACUGGCAGUCGUGAGUACCGUAGAGGUAGGCGGAAUUCGUGGUGUAGCGGUGAAAUGCUUAGAUAUCACGAAGAACUCCGAUUGCGAAGGCAGCUUACUAGACUGCCACUGACGUUGAUGCUCGAAAGUGUGGGUAUCAAACAGGAUUAGAUACCCGUGUAGUC